rnacentral:tRNA from 3 species
CGGGAUGUAGCUCAGUAUGGUAGAGCACAGCGUUCGGGACGCUGGGGCCGCUGGUUCAAGUCCAGUCAUCCCGA